AGCGCGCCAAUUGGUCCGCGUGGUCACAUGCUCUAGAGCUACAAAAGUAAAAACAAGUCGAUUAGACAAAAAUAUAAAAAAUGCUUUGCAAGUGUGUGCUAACAUUAGCUUUCUUAAUUGUGUUAUUAGAUUUCGUUCCGGCACAGGCUAGAGUGGCGGAAGAUUAUAAAUUGAUUGCACUCGACGAACCAUGCGUCAGGCAAGGCGGCAUCUGCAUGGAGCGGUCCAAGUGCGAGAGCGUGGUCGGCUUCAAUCGGGGGAACCUGUGUCCGGCAUUCCCUGCACAUUUGGGGCUCGCGUGUUGUUACUAUUAAUGAAGUAAUUGCCAGAAAAGGAGGAGCCAAAUGAUUAUGUAUUUUAAUUUAACAGCUAGUUACACGCAUUAGUUUUACAAAUGUUUAAGAUAAUGGCUACUGUUAUUUAAUAUUAAGGACUGAACAUUGUAGAGUUUCAAAAAUGAUGUCAUUUAAGUUUUUGUUAUUCACUGUGUUUACUUAAUACAUGAUGAUUGUUAAUUAGAGAGAAGAAAUUGCAUCGGCUUUGACCAAAAAUUACCAGUGUACCAUUUUUCUCACUAGAGUCAAGUUUUUAAACAUAACCAAGGUUAUACUAAAUACUUUUAAAUAUUUUCAAAUAAAAUUUCGAUUUGGUAAGUGCAAGCAGUAAAACAUAGAAUAAUAAUUUUAUCAUUUAUUAAAGUUUUACCGCACAAGCACUCAAUAAUUUACAAUAUUAUUAAAAAUUGCAACUAUACUGUACUUGUACAAAAUUUCACUGUAAGUAGAGCCAUUAAACUAAAAAAAUCCUUCUUGGAACUGGUAACGUUUUCCUGAAAUAUUGAACCAAAUAGGUAGACUAAUUAAUUACCAAUCAUUCUGUUUAGUCUGUGUUAUUCUAAAUUUAAGUUAAUUAUGCUGGAUUUCUAUAUUCAAUCCUAAUCCAAAUUAUACGGAUUUGGAUUGUCAACUGUCAAAUUUUAAUAUGUUUUUGGCCAAAAUAACUGCGGUUUUUGAUGUUUUUACAUUUUUAUAUUGUUUAUAAGACUAUUUAAACAAUAUUAAAGUGUAAAUGCAUCGAACAUUUUGGAAAUAUAAUCUAAAACUGAAUUCAAUUUGACAGUUGUAAUCCGGAUUUGGACAAGGAUUGAAUAUGGGAAUCGGGCGUUAGAUGAUACCCAUCGUAUUUAAAAUGUAAAAAGCCGUCUAUAAUAAAUUAUGUUGUUUAAUGUUU